UACGUAGGGAGCGAGCGUUGUCCGGAUUUACUGGGUGUAAAGGGUGCGUAGGCGGCUAAGUAAGUCAGGCGUGAAAUAUAUAGGCUUAACCUGUAGACUGCGUUUGAAACUGCAUAGCUUGAGUGGAGUAGAGGCAGACGGAAUUUCCAGUGUAGCGGUGAAAUGCGUAGAUAUUGGAAGGAACACCAGUGGCGAAGGCGAUCUGCUGGGCUCUAACUGACGCUGAGGCACGAAAGUAUGGGUAGCAAAC
rnacentral:rRNA from 1 species